rnacentral:rRNA from 1 species
AGAGUUUGAUCAUGGCUCAGAUUGAACGCUAGGAGUAUGCUUAACACAUGCAAGUCGAACGGUAACAGGUUUAAUGGGAUCCCUUCGGGGUGACCUUGGCGCUGACGAGUGGCGGACGGGUGAGUAAUACUUAGGAAUCUGCCCAGUCGCGGGGGACAACUCGAGGAAACUCGAGCUAAUACCGGGGGGGGGGGGGGGGGGGGAAAGCGGGGGAUCUUCGGACCUCGCACUAUUGGAUGAGCCUAAGUCGGAUUAGCUUGUUGGUGAGGUAAUGGCUCACCAAGGCAACGAUCCGUAGCUGGUCUGAGAGGACGACCAGCCACACUGGGACUGAGACACGGCCCAAACUCCUACGGGAGGCA